GGCUGGAUGUUAGCAGACUAGGGACCUGCCCUACCCUUGGACUUCUUGUUAGGUAAAGGGUCACAAGGCCUCCAUAAAUGAAUGAAGUGUACCAGGUGGGCAUCUUCCAAUCCACUGAGGACCUGAAUAGAAGAAAAAGGCAGUGGAGGAAAGAAUUCAGUCCCUUCCUGC